AGGGUAAAUACUGUUGUUGUGUCAUUUGGCAAGACACUAAUCUUUACAGGUGAUUUUAAUGUGCAUGUGGAUGUGACCAAUGACAGGCAUGCAAAAGAACUUAAUGCUGUUCUUGAAAUGUUUGGUUUAACUCAGCACGUGAGAGGGGCAACCCACAACAAAGGUCACACUCUAGAUCUAGUUAUUACAAAAGGUGUUAAUAUAUCAAAUGUGAAUGUUGUUGAUGUUGCUUUAUCUGAUCAUUUUUGUGUCUUUUUUGACUUGUCUGUUACACCCAAACCAGUGGUUGGGCCUGGAGUUAUUCAAAGAAGACACAUAAAUGAUACAACAGGGACACAGUUUAUGGAAAUGAUCAGAUUUGAAAAUCCUCCAUGUUCAAAUGUUGAUAAUCUGUUGGACUCUUAUACAUCAAGCGUCUUAAAUGUUUUGGAUACUAUUGCUCCUGUCAAGGUUAAAAUGGUUAACAAUAGACAAAAGGCACCUUGGAGAAGUGAAGAUUCGGUCAGGGCGCAGAAAAGGGAGUGCCGAAAAGCCGAAAGGAAAUGGCGCAAGUCAAAGCUCCAGGUUCAUUUUGAGAUAUACAAAGAAGUGCUUUGUGAGUUCAACCAGAUUUUGCGUGGAGAAAGGGAGAAGUACUUCUCUAAAAUCAUCGCAAACUGCAGAAACAAUUCUCGUGUUCUGUUUUCCACAGUAAACAGAUUAACUAACCCUCCAGUUUCACUGCCCUUAGAACUAAUCUCUACAUCUAAGUGCAAUGAGUUUGCAAUAUUUUUUUAUGACAAAGUCCAAGGCAUUAAAAAUGCCAUAAUUUCCACAACACAAAUAGCAACCCUGCCACCAGCUAGACACCUUGAGCUGACACAUUUCACUCCUGUUACUGGCAAAACAAUCGAAGAGGUUAUCUCCGGUCUGAGUUCAUGUACAUGCUGCCUUGAUGAAUUACCCACUAGAUUUCUGAAGUCUGUGCUGACCAGCUUGUUACCACAACUUGUUCAGUUAGUUAACAUCUCAUUUGAGACUGGAG
rnacentral:lncRNA from 1 species